CUUGACAAGGGCAAACCUAUCGUGAGGUAGGGGCGCAAAGCUACGAGUCUUUACAGUUUGUAAAGACAGUCGGGCCGCCAAGG
rnacentral:ncRNA from 1 species